rnacentral:rRNA from 1 species
AGCGAACGCUGGCGGCAGGCCUAACACAUGCAAGUCGAACGAACUCUUCGGAGUUAGUGGCGGACGGGUGAGUAACCCGUGGGAACGUGCCUUUUGGUUCGGAAUAACUCAGGGAAACUUGUGCUAAUACCGAAUGUGCCCUUCGGGGGAAAGAUUUAUCGCCAUUAGAGCGGCCUGCGUCUGAUUAGCUAGUUGGUGAGGUAACGGCUCACCAAGGCGACGAUCAGUAGCUGGUCUGAGAGGAUGACCAGCCACACUGGGACUGAGACACGGCCCAGACUCCUACGGGAGGCAGCAGUGGGGAAUCUUGCGCAAUGGGCGAAAGCCUGACGCAGCCAUGCCGCGUGAAUGAUGAAGGUCUUAGGAUUGUAAAAUUCUUUCACCGGGGACGAUAAUGACGGUACCCGGAGAAGAAGCCCCGGCUAACUUCGUG